GUGCCAGCCGCCGCGGUAAUACGGAGGGUGCAAGCGUUGUUCGGAUUUAUUGGGCGUAAAGCGCGUGUAGGCGGUUUCUUAAGUCUGAUGUGAAAGCCCUGGGCUCAACCUAGGAAGUGCAUUGGAUACUGGGAGACUUGAAUACGGGAGAGGGUAGUGGAAUUCCUAGUGUAGGAGUGAAAUCCGUAGAUAUUAGGAGGAACACCGGUGGCGAAGGCGGCUCUCUGGACCGAUACUGACGCUGAGACGCGAAAGCGUGGGUAGCAAACAGG
rnacentral:rRNA from 1 species